rnacentral:rRNA from 1 species
UUCGAUCAUGGCUCAGAUUGAACGCUGGCGGGAUGCUUUUAUUACGUCGAAACGGCAGCACGGACUUCGGUCUGGUGGCGAGUGGCGAACGGGUGAGAUGACGAACGUGCCUAGUAGCGGGGGAUAACUGCCGAAAGCGGGUAGCUAAUACCGCAUACGCCCUUCGGGGAAAGCGGGGGACCUUCGGGCCUCGCACUAAUAGAGCGAACUGAUAUCGGAUUAGCUGCUGGUGGGGUAACGGUCACCAGGCGACGAUCCGUAGCUGGUUUGUGAUAGGAGACCAUGCCACUGGGGAUCGAUUAUCGGCCCAGACUCCUACGGGAGGCAGCAGUGGGGGAAUUUUGGACAAUGGGGAAACCCUGAUCCAGCCAUCCCGGGCGUGUGCGAUGAAGGCCUUCGGGUUGUAAAGCACUUUUGGCAGGAAAGAAACGGCACGGGAUAAUACCCCGUGCAACUGACGGUACCUGCAGAACAAGCACCGGCUAACUACGUGCCAGCAGCCGCGGUAAUGUAGGGUGCAGUGUUAACGGAAUUAUCGGGCGUAAAGCGUGCGCAGGCGGUUCGAAAAAGAAAGAUGUGAACCAGGAGAGCUUAACUUUGGAACUCGUAUUUUGACACUACCGAGCUAGAGUGUGUCAGAGGGAGGUGGAAUUCCUGCGUGUAGCAGCAGUUCUUCCGGCAGAUAUGCGGAGGAAUAUCGACGAAGGCAGCCUCCUGGGAUAACACUGACGCUCAUAACGAAAGCGUGGGGAGCAAACAGGAUUAGAUACCCUGGUAGUCCACGCCCUAAACGAUGUCAACUUAGCUGUUGGGGCCUCCUGGCCUUGGUAGCAGCUAACGCGUGAAGUUGACCGCCUGGGGAGUACGGUCGCAAGAUUAAAACUCAAAGUACCCGACGGGGACCCGCAAGGCGCGGUGGAUGAUGUGGAUUAAUCUGAUGCAACGGCGAAAAACCUUACCUACCCUUGACAUGUCUGGAAUCCCGAAGAGAUUUGGGAGUGUCAAAAUAGAACCGGAACACAGGCGUUGGGUAUGGCUGUCGUCAGCUCGUGUCGUGAGAUGCUGGGUUAAGUCCUGCAACGAGCGCAACCCUGGAUACGCUAGUUGCUACGAAAGGGCACUCUAAUGAGGCUGCCGGUGGCAACUGGAGGAAGGUGGGGAUGACGUCAAGUCCUCAUGGCCUCUAUGGGUAGGGCUUUCACACGUCAUACAAUGGUCGGGACAGAGGGUCGCCAACCCGCGAGGGGGAGCCAAUCCCAGAAACCCGAUCGUAGUCCUGAUCACAGUCUGCAACUCGACUGCGUGAAGUCGGAAUCGCUAGUAAUCGCGGAUCAGCAUGUCGCGGCAGAAUACGUUCUGGCCUGCGCUAACGCUCGUCACCAUGGGAGUGGGUUUUACCAGAAGCGUAGUUAGCCUAACCGUAAGGAGGGCGAUUACCACGGUAGGAUUCAUGACCAGUGAAGUCGUAACAAGGC